rnacentral:rRNA from 1 species
GGAUGAACGCUAGCUACAGGCUUAACACAUGCAAGUCGAGGGGCAGCAUGGAAGAAGCUUGCUUCUUCUGAUGGCGACCGGCGCACGGGUGCGUAACGCGUAUCAAACCUGCCUCAUACUCGGGGAUAGCCUUGCGAAAGUAAGAUUAAUACCCGAUGUUGUUAUGUUGCCGCAUGGUGAUAUAACCAAAGAUUUAUCGGUAUGAGAUGGUGAUGCGUCCGAUUAGGUAGUAGGCGGGGUAACGGCCCACCUAGCCUUCGAUCGGUAGGGGUUCUGAGAGGAAGGUCCCCCACACUGGAACUGAGACACGGUCCAGACUCCUACGGGAGGCAGCAGUGAGGAAUAUUGGUCAAUGGACGGAAGUCUGAACCAGCCAAGUAGCGUGCAGGAUGACGGCCCUCUGGGUUGUAAACUGCUUUUAGUUGGGAAUAAAAAAGAGGACGUGUCCUCUAUUGUAUGUACCUCAGAAAAAGGACCGGCUAAUUCCGUGCCAGCAGCCGCGGUAAUACGGAAGGUCCAGGCGUUAUCCGGAUUUAUUGGGUUUAAAGGGAGCGUAGGCGGAUUAUUAAGUCAGUGGUGAAAGACGGUGGCUCAACCAUCGUUAGCCAUUGAAACUGGUAGUCUUGAGUGCAGACAGGGAUGCUGGAACUCGUGGUGUAGCGGUGAAAUGCUUAGAUAUCACGAUGAACUCCGAUCGCGAAGGCAGGUGUCCGGGCUGCAACUGACGCUGAGGCUCGAAAGUGUGGGUAUCAAACAGGAUUAGAUACCCUGGUAGUCCACACAGUAAACGAUGUAUACUCGCGGUUUGCGAUAGACAGUAAGCCGCCAAGCGAAAGCAUUAAGUAUACCACCUGGGGAGUACGCCGGCACGGUGAAACUCAAGGAAUUGACGGGGGCCCGCACA